rnacentral:rRNA from 1 species
GUGGGGAAUUUUUCGCAAUGGGCGCAAGCCUGACGAAGCAACGCCGCGUGGAGGAUGAAGGUCUUCGGAUUGUAAACUCCUGUCGACCGGGACGAAUGCACUCGACCUAAUACGUCGGAAUGUUGACGGUACCGGUGGAGGAAGCCACGGCUAACUCUGUGCCAGCAGCCGCGGUAAUACAGAGGUGGCAAGCGUUGUUCGGAAUUACUGGGCGUAAAGGGCGCGUAGGCGGCCUUGUAAGUCUCGUGUGAAAGCCCUCGGCUUAACUGAGGAUCUGCACGGGAUACUGCGAGGCUUGAGUUCGGGAGAGGAAAGCGGAAUUCCGGGUGUAGCGGUGAAAUGCGUAGAUAUCCGGAGGAACACCAGUGGCGAAGGCGGCUUUCUGGACCGACACUGACGCUGAGGCGCGAAAGCUAGGGGAGCAAACGGGAUUAGAAACCCUAGUAGUCC